CUUCCGUUCUCCCCGCACAGGAGGGCGGAUAGAGGGGCCCGGAGCGCUCUGCCCUGACCGCCCGGGGCCCUCACGGUCGGCCGCUCGGCCGAUGCAACUCCGGGCUGCGGUGCCGGGUGGGUUGAGGGUCCCGCCCUGGCGC
rnacentral:ncRNA from 1 species